UACGGGGGGGGCAAGCGUUGUUCGGAAUUACUGGGCGUAAAGGGCGCGUAGGCGGUGCUCUAAGUCGGAUGUGAAAACUCUGGGCUCAACCCAGAGCCUGCAUCCGAAACUGGAGUGCUAGAGUUCUGGAGGGGGUAGCGGAAUUCCUGGUGUAGCGGUGAAAUGCGUAGAUAUCAGGAGGAACACCGGUGGCGAAGGCGGCUACCUGGACAGUUACUGACGCUGAGGCGCGAAAGCCAGGGGAGCGAACGGG
rnacentral:rRNA from 1 species